rnacentral:rRNA from 1 species
GACGAACGCUGGCGGCGUGCUUAACAUAUGCAAGUCGAACGAUGAACCCGGGGCUUGCUCCGGUGGAUUAGUGGCGAACGGGUGAGUAACACGUGAGUAACCUGCCCUUGACUCUGGGAUAACUGCGGGAAACUGUAGCUAAUACCGGAUACGACCCUCGGCGGCAUCGCCAGGGGGUGGAAAGAAUUUCGGUCAAGGAUGGACUCGCGGCCUAUCAGCUAGUUGGUGAGGUAACGGCUCACCAAGGCGACGACGGGUAGCCGGCCUGAGAGGGUGACCGGCUACACUGGGACUGAGACACGGCCCAGACUCCUACGGGAGGCAGCAGUGGGGAAUAUUGCACAAUGGGCGCAAGCCUGAUGCAGCAACGCCGCGUGAGGGAUGACGGCCUUCGGGUUGUAAACCUCUUUUAGUAGGGAAGAAGCGAAAGUGACGGUACCUGCAGAAAAAGCACCGGCUAACUACGUGCCAGCCGCCGCCGUAA